CCUACGGGUGGCAGCAGUGAGGAAUAUUGGUCAAUGGCCGUAAGGCUGAACCAGCCAAGUCGCGUGAAGGAAGAAGGAUCUAUGGUUUGUAAACUUCUUUUAUAGGGGAAUAAAGGUAUCCACGUGUGGAUAUUUGCAUGUACUUUAUGAAUAAGGAUCGGCUAACUCCGUGCCAGCAGCCGCGGUAAUACGGAGGAUCCGAGCGUUAUCCGGAUUUAUUGGGUUUAAAGGGAGCGUAGAUGGGUUGUUAAGUCAGUUGUGAAAGUUUGCGGCUCAACCGUAAAAUUGCAAUUGAUACUGGCAGUCUUGAGUACAGUUGAGGUAGGCGGAAUUCGUGGUGUAGCGGUGAAAUGCUUAGAUAUCACGAAGAACCCCGAUUGCGAAGGCAGCUUACCAAACUGUGACUGACAUUGAUGCUCGAAAGUGUGGGUAUCAAACAGGAUUAGAUACCCCUGUAGUC
rnacentral:rRNA from 1 species